rnacentral:rRNA from 1 species
AGUGAACGCUGGCGGUAGGCCUAACACAUGCAAGUCGAACGGCAGCACAGUAAGAGCUUGCUCUUACGGGUGGCGAGUGGCGGACGGGUGAGGAAUACAUCGGAAUCUACUUUUUCGUGGGGGAUAACGUAGGGAAACUUACGCUAAUACCGCAUACGACCUACGGGUGAAAGCAGGGGAUCUUCGGACCUUGCGCGAUGGAAUGAGCCGAUGUCGGAUUAGCUAGUUGGCGGGGUAAAGGCCCACCAAGGCGACGAUGCGUAGCUGGGCUGAGAGGAUGAUUCGACAACCUGGAAGUGAGAAAAGGUCCCCAAUCCGACGGGAGGACGCGGUGGGGAAUAUUGGGAAAGGGGGGAAAGCCUUAUACAGGCAAAACGGCGGGGUGAAGAAGGACCUAGGGUUGGAAAGUCCUUUUGUUCGGAAAGAAAAGAAGCAGGUUAAUACCCCGCUGUUCUGACGGUACCCAAAGAAUAAGCACCGGCUAACUUCGUG